GUGUGGCUCCCCUGCUGAUUUAAUCUCCUGUGUUUGGGAGCAGGUCUGUGCUGGCACAGGUGCUGAUGGCUGAACCAAAUUCCCAGCUCACAGGAGGAAACCAGCCAUGCGAUGCAGCUCAUGAAGGUGGAAAUUCCUGGGGCAUCCUGGGCCCUGGCUGUAUGCCCAGCCCAGUCCUGUAUCACCCCAGGGAGUCCUCAUCCCACUCAGUACCUGUUCCCCCACUCCUCAGCUCUUCAAAGUGCAUGCUGUUCUCUGAGCUGUCCGCAUUGGUACACCCCUAUCAUCUGAAAAGCAUUACAGACAUAGAAGCAGGGUUGCUCUUCCUGCUCCCUUACAAAACUCUUGGGGAGAAUAUUGUCAAGGCAGGCAAAUGCAGAAAGCCCUCCGCUUACUAUCUCACUGAGCAGCUCAGUUUCCACCUGUUCUCCCAUCUCACCUGGGAACGGUAACCAUGGAGAUCAAAUUAGGAUCUACUGAGAAAAGCACCAAGU